rnacentral:rRNA from 1 species
GAUGAACGCUGGCGGCGUGCCUAACACAUGCAAGUCGAGCGAGAAGCUCAUGAUCGAAACUUCGGUUGAUUGAUUGAGUGGAAAGCGGCGGACGGGUGAGUAACGCGUAGGCAACCUGCCCCUUGCAGAGGGAUAGCCUCGGGAAACCGGGAUUAAAACCUCAUAAUGCGUUUUGAAGACAUCUUCGAGGCGCCAAAGAUUUAUCGGCAAGGGAUGGGCCUGCGUCUGAUUAGUUAGUUGGUGGGGUAACGGCCUACCAAGGCAGCGAUCAGUAGCCGACCUGAGAGGGUGAUCGGCCACAUUGGAACUGAGACACGGUCCAA